rnacentral:lncRNA from 1 species
CUCAGCAGGUUGGAGAAUGUCUCUUCCAAGCAGUUUGUCUAGUGUGUCUCCUCAGCAGUCUUCACUGCGUAUAUAAGCUUAGGGAGAAAGGUACAUUGUAUAUCUGGUCAGUUUCAGGUAUUUCUGGAGACUCAUGUGCUGUUUACUUCCCAGGUCCUAAUGAACCUCCCUUUAAAACUUCCUAAGUCUUAAGGAGCUUUGCUCCAGGAUGGAAUGUUCUAAUACAGAGGAAAUCACUACACAACACAGCCCCUCUGGCCUGUCUCUUUCCUGGCAUUUGUCUGGCUGUCCUAGUGUGGACAGACAGAUCCUCGAGGACUUGAAUAGUUUGCUGCAUUUGUCUCCAGCCCCAGCUCAUGGUAAAUGCUGACUCAGUGAACAUCUGCCUUCAAUAUUUUCCCCAAGAUCUACUCAUCUGAACCUUCACCCUUGCAGAUGUGACAGCCUUCACCCUUGCAGGUGUGACAGCCAUCACCCUUGCAGGUGCACAGCCUUCACCCUUGCAGGUGUGACAGCCUUUAGGGUCCACCGCAGCACCUCUCAAGCUUAUGAUGGUUGAUGCAAGUUGUGGUUUGAUGACUCCUGAGUGAUGAGGCUCUGUGUUGUAGAAUGUUGUACAGUGUGAGCUCUGACCAAUAAAUGGAAGGAGCUCAACUACAUCUUCCACAAGGUGUAACAAAUAAAAUGUCCUUAUGCAUUGUCCCGUCUCCCAACCCUGAGUAAACCCUCAGAGAUUCCUGAAAGGACUCUCAAGACAGUCUGAACAUCUUUUAAAAACUGUCAACAGCUUGUGAAUCAGGAAAAAUGUCUGAUUCAGACCCCAUUGUCCAGAGAAGUGUGAGGUAGGAGCAGAGCGUAUUCUCUACUCCUCUAACUUCUCUCUGGCCUCUGGCUCCAAGGUGCCUUUCUGCUCUCUGCAGAUUGUUUUGCCACCUGUGGGUCUGAGAUUUACCUUCUGUAAACAAGGACUCUGGCUCUCUCACAGCAUCUCCAGCCCCACAGUGUGCCCUCCCUUUGCCCAGGACCCAGACGCCCCCACCAUGAUGUUGAUGAGCCUGUUCCAGGCAGGUGAGCUUGGGAACAGGGAUUUAGACUGAGUCAAUCUCCCCAGGACAUGGCUUCUGACAUGGAAUCUAUGAUUCCCCAUCAAAAUAUGAGAAACAGCAGCCAUUCAGUACCUUGAGCCCCACUGAUAAUUCUAUCCCAUGUUUCUAUUUCGUACUGUAUCUAUCUCUGGCAACUGAUUCAUACAAGGAUUGAUAGGAUAAGACUUCAGUGGCCACAAUUACACUGACCCAGGGCAAAUUCCACCUUCACUCCAUGGAUAUCAGUUUCACAGGAGAUAAUCAUCUUUCAGGCAGGGGAAAAAAAGCUUGAAAUGGAACUACUAUAGCAG